AGAGACAAUCUCUAAGAAGGUCUUUCAAGGGAGGCUGACUCUGGCUGGAACUCCCUCUGGGGAGACUCUGUCCCCCUGAAUCCUCACUUGAACAGAUCUUAUGUAUAGGGGCUUGUUGUAUUAGAGAAUUGGAUUGGAUGUAAUGGAGAAAAAGAAGAUGAUAAAUGCCCAGAAGGAAGGAAGGUUUCUGCCACAAUUCUUGGUAUCUCUGGAGGGAAAUGGUGAAUUAAGUUCAAUGAGGGAUUUGAAUAGCUCAGGAGAUAGUCUCUGAUCAGACUGUCACCUUUGCUGUCUCAAGAUAGAGGAAGAGAUCAACUGCCUCCCUCCUGGAAUCUCUCUUCCCUCAAGAUUCCAAGCCUCCUCAACCAUCCCCCACUGUGAAUGGAAAUCCUUGUAAUUUCUUCCAGGCUCUGUCCUUCAAAGUCUCUGGAUCAUUCAUCUAUCACAUUGUAUUUAAGUAAAUACUUUUA
rnacentral:lncRNA from 1 species